UGUCCGACCUGUUCAGUUCGGAGAGGGACACACCACUCCAGAGGAAUUUCCCCCGUGUCUCGUGUCCUUUGUUCCGCUGGGUUCCCUGGGGGGUGAGCGAACCUGAGAGGAGGCCGAGAAAGAGGAGAGAGAGAGGCGGACGCAGAGAUGUCGGAGCCGGCCACAAAUCCCGCUGCCACCUCUUUCUCAGCGCCCACGAUUUCGUUGCCUUUGGGCCUGGAAGUGUUGAGGACUUAUUCUGGAGCUCUUUUCUGCUUUGAAAUAUUUUUUGGUGGUUUAGUAUGGAUCCUGGUGGCUUCCUCCAAUGUGCCAGUCCCUCUGCUGCAAGGCUGGGUGAUGUUUGUGUCUGUCACCGCCUUCCUCCUCUCCUCUGCCUACCUCCUCCUCCUCAUCACCGGCCUGGCUGACCGCAUCAGUAUUGACUGGAACUUUUUGGAUGUUUUUUACCAUUUUAUAGCUUUGCUUUUCUAUUUUGCCGCCUUCGUGCUGGAGGCGGCGACCACGGCAGCCAACGGAGGAGCCAUCAUCACGCCCCUGCCAAACAGCACCGCAACUGUAAUGUGUAUACACUACCCUCGGGGAAAUGUAUUCACUGUGCUGACUGGCAACCAGUACAAUAUUAAUGUCGUGGCAACGCUCACCCGUGAUGAAUGAGGUCAAACGGUGUCCAAGAGAGAGAUGGAGAGAUGGAUGGUUUCAUGGAUUUCUGACAAGUUUGGCUGCCCACCAGUCCACUGGGCUCUGAAUCAAAUGCUCAUCAGACAUUUGCAUAUUUGCGUUUGUGGUGACGCUUUGCUACGGCUGGAGUUUGGUGAUGGCCUUCAAGAGAUGGCGAAUCUAACUUGAAACUCCAAAUGAUUUCUCACCUGUUUUCCACCAACGUGAAACAUUCACAAUAGCAUCAUAGAGCACGCUGCUGUUCAGUGUGGAAUUGGAAUGCCCAGUUUGUGAUUUGUGUGCGUGUGUGUGUGCGCGUGUGUGUGUGGACUUUAUUCAUUACGGAAUGACCAAGGACCUUUCUGAGGUCUUAACUUCUCAAACAUGUUGAGUAGAGUAGUGAGGGGAAGAGACAAAAACAUAAUAAGAAUGACUCAUGUAGUAUGGCAUGUGAGUGAGUACUGUUGGUCACACUUACGCAACUGGCUUUUUAUUCACAUCAACACUGUAACUUCCUUUUUCUACAGGAUUCACAUCCUCACUGUAGGGAAUAUUUCCCAAUUCCAAAACUGCUACUUCUCACCGAGUGUGCUGCUUUUGUUUCAUGAACAACAGAAGCUUCAUAUGCUUGCACAUUUUCUUGGAAAGGCCUUUGUGAAAUUCAAUUCUCAUUCAACAUGAUGUGUUAAUGAAUUUUUCUAUAUUGAUAGGGUAUUUGAAAUUCUAAAAGUUCAUUUUGUUAGAUGACAUCACGGUGUAUUCUUAACAUACAAACCUACCAUAGUUGACGUUUUAAAGAAUUUUAAAAUAACCUACACUGUUAUCUUUAUGCCCUGCGAUUGGCUGCCGACCAGUUCAGGGUGUAGCCCGCCUCUCGCCCGAAGAUGGCUGGCAUAGGCUCCAGCACGCCCGCGACCCUUGUGAGGAUAAAGCGGUACGGGAAAUGAAUGGAUGGAUGGAUGGAUGUUAUCUUUAUAUGUAUUAAUAGUUAAUUAGAUGACAUCAUUGUGUAUCUUCUCCUUAACGUUUAGGAUUGAACACUCAAACGUUUUAAAGAAUUUUAACAUUACAGAAACCUACACUGUUAUUUCUAAGCAUAUUAAAAGUCAAUUCACAUUAAGAAUAAAUAAUGUUCAUAAAUAUUCACUCAAUCAGUCUUGCUUGCUGUGGCACUGUAUUAUUAUCAGUUAGAUUAAGUGUGGCCUAUCACAGUUUAUAUUAUGAUAGUAAAUUAUUACUCAUUUCAAAUAGAUUGAUUGCUUUUGAUUGUCUUUGUUACCAUUUUAGUACAUUUAAAAAAAUACAUAAUACAUAUUUUAAGGUGACUGUUUAAUAAAACACCUAAAACAAA